rnacentral:tRNA from 1 species
GGUGGCUCAGCAGUAGAGUGCAUGCCUUGCAAGCAUGAGGCCCUGGGUUCGAUUCCUUAGCACCA